rnacentral:rRNA from 1 species
UACAGAGGUCUCAAGCGUUGUUCGGAUUCAUUGGGCGUAAAGGGUGCGUAGGCGGCGCGGUAAGUCGGGUGUGAAAUCUCGGGGCCUAACUCCGAAACUGCAUUCGAUACUGCCGUGCUUGAGGACUGGAGAGGAGACUGGAAUUUACGGUGUAGCGGUGAAAUGCGUAGAUAUCGAGAGGAACACCUGCGGCGAAGGCGGGUUGCUGGGCCGACACUGACGCUGAUGCGCGAAAGCCAGGGGAGCGAACGGG